rnacentral:rRNA from 1 species
GUGAGUAGUUCAUUGAUCCUGGCUCAGGAUGAACGCUAGCGACAGGCCUAACACAUGCAAGUCGAGGGGCAGCAUGAAAUUAGCUUGCUAAUUUUGAUGGCGACCGGCGCACGGGUGAGUAACACGUAUGCAACCUGCCUGUAAGCGGGGGAUAACCCGGAGAAAUUCGGACUAAUACCGCAUAAUAUCAUUGAUUCGCAUGUUUCAAUGAUUAAAAAUUUAUUGCUUACAGAUGGGCACGCGUAUGAUUAGCUAGUUGGCGGGGUAACGGCCCACCAAGGCGACGAUCAUUAGGGGUUCUGAGAGGAAGGUCCCCCACAUUGGAACUGAGACACGGUCCAA